UCGGGUCGGCAUGGCAUCUCCACCUCCUCGCGGUCCGACCUGGGCAUCCGUAGGAGGACRRACGUCCUACCUCGGAUGGCUAAGGGAGAGCCAGU
rnacentral:ribozyme from 13 species